AACCUCAAAAGAUCCUUUUCUGAGAGAGGAUCCCGAGGAUUCCAACAAAUUAAAUAAACACCUCAGCCUUCUUCUCAGACAUGAGAAGGUGGAUGAGGUGUGUCACUGGAUGUAAAAGAGAACAAGGUCACGCUUUACAAUUUUUCAAGAAAACCGGCUUCUUUUAAAAAGUUAAAUAGAUGAAUUGUCCCAACCAGCGCAUCUUCACUUAAAAUCAGUGAAGGAUGAAAAGGAAUGCGUUCGCUGUAAAAUGGCGUAAAAUGUUUUUUCCUCAAUGUCUCAAGUUGUCUGCAGGAGAGUAAAAUGUGGGUCACUGUAAGUUCGUCUCCGCAUUUGUCACAAACUGGCUUGUCUUUUUUUGUCAGCAAGUAAUUAUGGGUAAUGUGUGUGUGUCCAAUGCGGAGGCGACAUAAGACAAUUUCAAUAAAACGUUCUUGGUGUGAACAUGACUUCCACUCUUCUAUGAUGGGUUUUACAAGGCGUAGCUUAUUGUUCGUUUGAUUGUUCCAUACGGACUGCCAUUUUUCUUUCAGUUUAUGGCACACUAAUUUCAUGCAAUCUCUGUGAGGAAUUCUUAUGUUUUUUAUUUCCUUAUUUCGAGCUUUAGCUGCACUCUCGUCUGCUUUCUCAUUUCCACAGAUUCCUACGUGGCUCGGCACCCAACAAAGUUUGAUGUUUUGUCCCCGCCUCGUGGCUGCUGUUAUGUUGUGUAGGAUGUCACCGAUUAUUGGCAAAAUUGCAUUCCUAGGCUGAAGGGCUUAUCCAAGGAGUUCCGCCGUCCCUGUGACGUUGACGGCACGGAACCAUCCUGGUUCGUCUCCAUUACCUCAUCAGAGGCGCUGGAGGGUCGUGCAGACUGCACGUCGGCACUUUUUUCAGACCUCCCCUCGUGGGCAGAGGCCUUGAGGCUUGCCAACUCGAGGGACGGCAUAGCCUGCUUUGCGGCUGGUGGAGCAGCGUGAGCUGCUACCACCGGGGGCGAGGAUGGCUCCGUCCCAGCCUCACUAUGUGUGGUCUGGGCAGGUGCCGGAGGCCGGUGUGGUGGAUCGCCCUGUCGCACCACAUCGGCGAAGUUCAUGUUCGGUUUGAGUGAAAACUUGUUUUUAACUAAGAUGCGGUUUCUAGCCUCUUUGAAUGAAAUGUUCCCAAUUGUUUUCAAUGUAAUGAUUUCUUUUUCUCUCUUCCAUGAGGGACAAGACCUGGAGUAUGCAGCAUGCUCUCCUUCACAGUUCGCACAGCGAGGUGCUGCUUCGCAUACUUCAGAAGCAUGGUCUUUGGAUGCGCAUUUCGCGCAGGUUUUGCGACCACGGCAACUCUGGGAGCCACGGCCAAAUCUCUGACAGUUGAAGCAACGUCGAGGGUUCGGAAUGUAUGGGCGAACGGCAACUUUUGUAUACCCAACUUCAAUUGUCUCUGGAAGUGUGCAGCAAGUGAAAGUCAAAAUUAGAUGCUUGCCAGCGGAGAAUGACCGCACGUGAUGUCACCCUACUAACCUGUUAAAACUGACCCGUCAAUGAUGAGAACGACAACAUGGAGAAAAUAGACAACCUGUUGAAGCGUAGGCCAGCCUUUCCGAGGCACCUGAUACCUGUUUGGAAAAUUCUGCACAAAAUAAAGCAAUCAC